UCGGGCGUGGUGCACGGUGUACCGCGGCUAUCAUUCAUCCAGGUUUCGAUAUGCUGCACGCCGCAGCCCGGGGUUCGACUCCCCGCGCCUGAG